rnacentral:rRNA from 1 species
AGAGAUGUGUGAUGACGCAUAUCAAUAAGCGGAGGAAAAGAAACUAACAAGGAUUCCCUUAGUAACGGCGAGUGAAGCGGGAAGAGCUCAAAUUUGAAAUCUUCAAGGUUCUACCUUGACGAAUUGUAGUUUAUAGAAGUGUUUUCUGUUAGUGGAGUGGCAAAAGUUCUUUGGAAUAGGACAUCAUAGAGGGUGAGAAUCCCGUAUUUGGUCAUUCCUCCUAGCGUUGUGAUACACUUUCAACGAGUCGGAUUGUUUGGGAAUGCAGUCCAAAAUGGGUGGUAAAUUUCAUCUAAAGCUAAAUAUUGGCGAGAGACCGAUAGCGAACGAGUACCGUGAGGGAAAGAUGAAAAGAACUUUGAAAAGAGAGUUAAACAGUACGUGAAAUUGUCAAAAGGGAAGCGUUUGACACCAGUGUUGUUUUUCCGAAAAUCAAUUACGAAUGUUUUGUUUUUGAGAAGUUAUGACUUCAUCGGCUUGCUCCUUUCUUUAUGAAACUUUCUUAAUGCACUUUUCGGUUAACAAGUCAACAUCAAUUUCUUUUGUUGUAAAAGGGUAUGAGGAAGGCUGGCUUUCUUUUCGGAGAAAGUGUUUAUAGCCUUGUGCCUCUGCAAUCGGAGAGAUUGAGGUCUGCAGCGUAGAUCCUUCGGGGUUAGAUACGUUUGUGCUAAGUUAUAGCUUUUCAUAGACAACUUGUUGACUAUGUUUAGUCUUGUAGCUUACUCGCUGACGCUAUUUUACCUACGCUUAGGAUGUUGAACUCUAUCACACACAG